GCUGAGCGCGGCGCUCCCCCUCCAGCACACGCCGCUCGCAGGGACCACCGCCCCCGCCGCCGCCCCAGCCCGCGGACGGAGAGAUGCGGGCUCGGGGUGCGCAGCCUGGGGAGGGCAAGCGGGCAGGCAGGGAGGAGGAGGAUGGGGACGGACGAAGAGGCUCGGGAAGGGGAGGGGUGCGGAGAGCAGGAGGACAAAGAUGCCUCUUCUGUUAAAAGCACAAGAACCAAAGCUCAGUACCCUGAUACCAUAGUAUGUGUCUCAGAGCACAUAAACAGACAGUGUGAUGUUUGCAAAAGUUUGGGCUGGAGUUGCCUCUACAAGAUACUAUCCUCGGGUUGAUUUUUUUGUUGUUGUUGUUUAAAAGUUCCAUCUGAAGUUCAGUCAUAUGUAGUCUGAAAAAUAGACAUUUUCACUGUCUAUAAAAAAAAAUCCUCCAAAGACUUCAACAUUUUUCCCAGUGAGAAGCAGAAGGUUGACAUACAGCCCCCCCAACACAAACCUAACCACAACGUGCUCGCUGCAGUACCAUGUGCUAUGCUCAGGAGGGAUGUGUUUGUAUCUUACAUUCUCCAAAGAAUUCAUCUGUAGUGAGUGUGCUGCACACAUUUACAGUUCCUGUGACUGAAUGAACAAUAUACUAGCAAAUGGAUGCUCAGUGAUGCUCCAGCCUCCACCUUCUGGCCACCUACUGUUCCCAGUGGACGUGGUAGAGCACACUAGAGCCCGCUCUGGGAGUGGAAAAGAAUGGGGAGAUGUCUGCCCACCCCAAAGACAUUAUGCUCAAGGAGUAUGGGAAAAACAGCCCACGUGGCAGGACCUCUCAGUCUUAAGGCACCAUCUGACAUUGGGAGUUCAAGGGUUAGCAAGGCAGCCUGGGCUUCACAGAGAGCUGGAAAGAAGGCAGAGACAGCAUGAAUGUACAGGCAAGAUUAAGUGCAUAGAGGCAAAAUGGGAAGAGACAGCAAGCAAAAGUCGAAAUAGCAGAGUUCAUAACAAAGUAACAAGCACCAUUGCCUCGGAAAUCUGUCUGUGACUUAAGAAGUAUUGUGACUAUCUCUUUUCCUAUGGUGAAUGGAUAUGAAAUCAACUGGAAAAAUCUGCCCUGCCUCCCUGGGCAGUCAGUCCACAGAAGGAACGGCUACUGAAGCUAUUAGUUCAAGUGAUAAGGAUCUCCUCUAUGUCACUAUGAAGACCUGACCUUUGCUGAUGACAUGAGCUGUGGUUCAGUGCAAUUUCACACAAUGUGCUUUCCUCUGUAAAAAUAUGUAAUCUUUUGAAAUGUCUGAAUGACUUGCCUGGAUUCAAGUUGGGAACUCAUACUGGAAAAAUUAAAUCAAUUGCAAGGAUAUUUUUAACAUGUAAUUAAAAGCUUGUUAAAGCCAAAUGCCAGGUGCAAAGCACCCAAAUAUGUCUUACCAUCAGUGGGCAGUUUCGAUGGGUCUCGAUCAGUCUGCACUUGAAGUCUGUCUUACAAAACAAGAAAAAAUAUAUCAUCUCUAAAUCUAACAGAUAUGUUCAUUACUGUUUAUGAGAAAUCAUAUGCUAAAGUCACAAAGACCAUGGAAGUAUCCCAAGAGAAUUAAUACUGUUGUAUUCAAUCAAAAGUCAGGAUAGAGGUAAAAUGCAAUAAAUAAAUAGUAAAGGUUCUAAGAACUACUGUAUGCCUUCUUCAUUUCCUUGGAGAAGUAAGAAUCAUCUGGAAGCAUAGCUCAUGCUCAUGUAUUAAUUAGCACACCACCAUUUACAUUAUUCAGAACAUAUGCAGAAACACCUGAA